AGACGCAGGCCGGGGCGGAGUCCCGAGGCCCCGCCCCCCAGCCUGCAGCUGGGUGGGGUGGGCGGGCGCCCCCUCCGCGGGGCGGGAUUCCGUUGCUCCGGGGCGCUGGUUACUGCUUUUUAUGUGACUCGGCGACAAGCCGGGAUGCCGAGUUCCUGCAAGUCCCAGCUCCCUGAGGCCUGUCCUGCGCGGUGCUGGUGCUGGUGCCCGGGAAGAGGUGAAAAAGGCAGGAAAGGUCUCAAGUGAAAUGAGACUGCGCUUUAACGCCUCGCGGGGAGGCUGGAGCUUGAGUCAAGAAUCCUUGGUCGUUUGAACCACCGCCUCUUCCUGAAAGAGAGGACAUUUUGUCUCAAAAUUAGUUACCGCUUCUCCAAUAAAAAAGAAACUAAGAUUACAAUAAGGAAGAUAACCAACAGGAUAUUCUCGGUAAAACACCACAUCCACACAUGCACAGUACAGCCAAGUGUGAUCAAAUACCUAGAACCAAAUGCUAAUGUAUAGAAAAUAGAACAGAGGAGCAUGUUAAACUACACCACAGAGAUAGAAUCAGCAAGAUCUUGACUGUGGGAAAUUCUGUAGGGCAACAUCCUGAGUACUUUAAUAAAUAAAAUGCAAGAGAAACAAAAGAGGGAAAACCGACAGAUUAAAAGGGCUGCAAAAAACGUCAA